GACGAACGCUGGCGGCGUGCCUAAUACAUGCAAGUAGAACGCACAGUUUAUACCGUAGCUUGCUACACCAUAGACUGUGAGUUGCGAACGGGUGAGUAACGCGUAGGUAACCUGCCUGGUAGCGGGGGAUAACUAUUGGAAACGAUAGCUAAUACCGCAUAAUAUUGAUUAUUGCAUGAUAAUUGAUUGAAAGAUGCUAUUGCAUCACUACCAGAUGGACCUGCGUUGUAUUAGCUAGUAGGUGAGGUAACGGCUCACCUAGGCGACGAUACAUAGCCGACCUGAGAGGGUGAUCGGCCACACUGGGACUGAGACACGGCCCAGACUCCUACGGGAGGCAGCAGUAGGGAAUCUUCGGCAAUGGACGAAAGUCUGACCGAGCAACGCCGCGUGAGCGAAGAAGGUUUUCGGAUCGUAAAGCUCUGUUGUAAGAGAAGAACGGGUGUGAGAGUGGAAAGUUCACACUGUGACGGUAUCUUACCAGAAAGGGACGGCUAACUACGUG
rnacentral:rRNA from 1 species